CCAAACACAUGACUGACUUCUGCUCAGCAAGUUGGAUUUUAAACACGAGUUCACUUCACACCUUCUUCACUGUCAGAGCAUUUAAAAGCCGACUUCUUGUAACUGUGAUACAGGAGAAGUUUGGUCAGCAGGGCCUCUCUCUCUCACCUCUAUCGUCUCUACAGGUUCAUGUGCUUCAGUGGUGGAGCUCAGAGUUUUCUUCUUCCUGGAUUGGAUGGAGUCCAACAAACACAACAAUUUGACAUAAUGAAAAUCACAAGACUAAAACCAAAGGAAGUCUGAAGAAGAAAACCAAAGAGAAAUGACUGAACUGAUGGACUCUGAUUGUUUUACCUCAUCCACAGACUCAGGAGAAGAAGAAGAAGGAUCAACAUGAAGACCACCAGAGUCGACCUGAUGAUGUUCGUUAUUACUGAUGAAGUUCCUGGAAAUACAGACAGACAUGUGAUGAAGCUCAGUAGUCGGACCUGACUGACGAAUCACUUUGCAGCUGAUACUGUGUGUUAAUCACUCAGUCAUCCACCUCUGACAUGAUGGAGGUUCCUCCAUGAGCACAGCUACAGGAAAACUGUCUACAAAUGCAGACAAGAAAUUUGACUUUCUUUGCGCCAGUUUUGAGUUGUUACACAUUAAUAUGUGACUGUGGUCAGGUGCAGUCAACAGGUGUGUGAGUGCAGGUGAAUGGAGAUAACUUACCUGCCACAACAGUCAGAUGUAAGGUGUUCCUAUGACUUCCUCUUAUGUUCUGGGCUUCACAGGAAUAAUUCCCACUGUGUUCAGCUCUGAAGUCAGUGAUGGUGAAGUUCUGUCCUGAUGCUUUUGCAGAGGGACUCACUGACACAGAGGGAAGCUUUGGACCAUCUGGAGGACAAGAUUUAACAAAGAUUAGCAGCAGAUUUUAAGAAUGUAUUCAUCCACACAAAGACCAUUUUCAAGUCAUUAAACCCUAAAAGAUUUA